rnacentral:lncRNA from 10 species
CUCUGUCUCUCCUGCCACCAUGUGAAGAAGGUGCUUGUUUCCCCUUUGCCUUCCGCCAUGAGUGUAAGUUUCCUGAGGUCUCCCAGUCAUACUGCUGGUUAAGCCUGCAGAACGGCUGGUCUUGAACUCCCAGCCUCAAGCCAUCCUCCCGCCUUGGCCUUUCAAAGUGCUGGAUUACAAGCGUGAGCCACCGUGCACAGCCAAGACACAAUUUUAAAUCGAGCGGUCAGGAAGCCUCCUGGAGAAAAUGACGUUUGAACAAAGACAUGAAGAAAGUGGAGAAUAUUUGGAGAAAAGCAUUUCAGGCAGAGGAAAGUGCCAGGGCAGAGGCCCCGAGGUGCUGCUGACAGCCAUCGUGUGCUGCGGAGGAAGAUUGCCUGAGAAUGGAGCCAUUCAGGAGGAAAUGGGGCAGAGAAAUAAAGAGAAAUCAAAUCCCAUCUUUUCAGUCCCGCUUCCCUCACUCCCUCAUCCAUUCUUCCUGGCAGACUAUUCAGUUGUGCUUUUUAAGAUUUAUUCUGUUUUUG